ensembl:misc_RNA
CUGACAGCACUGGAGACUGAAAGCCUCUGCUUACCCCCAGAACAGGCAUAGCACAGGCAAGGGCAGUGGAAGCAUGCCUUACACUGCCCCGCCCAGACCACGUGCCUCAACUCUGCCCUGGAGAGAGAAUCUCUAGGGUUGAAAGGGAAAUUGAGUGUCUUUGGCCCAGCCAAUCCUUGGCCUCA